rnacentral:rRNA from 1 species
GAUGAACGCUGGCGGCGUGCCUAAUACAUGCAAGUCGAGCGAACGGACGAGAAGCUUGCUUCUCUGAUGUUAGCGGCGGACGGGUGAGUAACACGUGGAUAACCUACCUAUAAGACUGGGAUAACUUCGGGAAACCGGAGCUAAUACCGGAUAAUAUUUUGAACCGCAUGGUUCAAAAGUGAAAGACGGUCUUGCUGUCACUUAUAGAUGGAUCCGCGCUGCAUUAGCUAGUUGGUAAGGUAACGGCUUACCAAGGCAACGAUGCAUAGCCGACCUGAGAGGGUGAUAGGCCACACUGGAACUGAGACACGGUCCAGACUCCUACGGGAGGCAGCAGUAGGGAAUCUUCCGCAAUGGGCGAAAGCAUGACGGAGCAACGCCGCGUGAGUGAUGAAGGUCUUCGGAUCGUAAAACUCUGUUAUUAGGGAAGAACAUAUGUGUAAGUAACUGUGCACAUCUUGACGGUACCUAAUCAGAAAGCAACGGCUAACUACGUG